rnacentral:rRNA from 1 species
GACGAACGCUGGCGGCGUGCUUAACACAUGCAAGUCGAACGGAGCGAAUGAAAGCUUGCUUUUAUGAGCUUAGUGGCAAACGGGUGAGUAACACGUAGACAACCUGCCGACAGGAUGGGGACAACAUUCCGAAAGGAAUGCUAAUACCGAAUGAAGUCAGAGGAGGGCAUCCUCCUCUGAUGAAAGAUGGCCUCUUUUUAUGCUAUCACCUGUUGAUGGGUCUGCGUCUGAUUAGCUAGUUGGUGAGGUAACGGCUCACCAAGGCGACGAUCAGUAGCCGGUCUGAGAGGAUGAACGGCCACAUUGGGACUGAGACACGGCCCAGACUCCUACGGGAGGCAGCAGUGGGGAAUCUUCCGCAAUGGGCGCAAGCCUGACGGAGCAACGCCGCGUGAGUGAAGAAGGUCUUCGGAUCGUAAAGCUCUGUUGACGGGGACGAACGUGCGGAGUGCGAAUAGCA